GCCUGCGGCUCCGAUCGGUCCUCGCCGACACCGCCUAAGUCCUCCCGCACUGCAUCGCCUCCUGGUCGUUGUUCCAGGCGCCUCCAUCGACUGGAGGAACGAUGGGCCCUCGUCCUUGUGCCAGUGCGCGUCCGUGAAGGAAACAAACCGUGAUGUGCCGCCUCAGAUCCACUGUGUGAAGGCAGCGGGGGAUGGAUCACAAGGGGAGAGGUGCAGUCCUCCAGAGCUAUUGGAUCCCAAAAUUGGAAGAUGAUGGCGAUAUGUUGCGAGGAUGAGUGCUUCUCCAUUUUCUGUUCUGUAUGUGGUGGUCGACGUUUGUACCUCGCUCGGGCUAAUUUCUUUGGUGCACGGGCUUUCAGAUCUAAGGUUCACCGGCACACAAGAGUCACUUGGUUGUUUGAUGCAUUCGUGCUCGUCGGCGGGACGGUGCAAGGCGCAACUCCGAUGCGGUUCCUCACCGGUUGGACGGCGUUCAGGCGCAACCCCGGUGCUCACUGAGUACUGCCUCGGCUACAACCUCCCACGGUGAGGUAAAAAACGACUACGAUCGGAUUCCCUGGCUCCUCAGCGAUUUGGGCCUCCUGGCCGUUAGAUUCGUUUGCUUGAUGUGAUUCCAGCCGUCGGAUCGAGCAGUGGGAUGACCUGCGCCGUCGGAUUGAUUCGUUGCUCCUGUCGCAAUGAAAGUCACCGUUUCCCUGGGUUUUCGCUUACUCCACCGUUUUGAGCGUAUUUCGCUGGCGUGUGGGGUUUCCGGCGUGUGGGCCGCCUUGUUCAGUGACCGUGGCUAUGUGUUUUGGCUGUGUGGCCCGUGGGGCGCGUGGGCUGGCAAAUAUCUUGUGCCACCGCAAGAAAUAACGUGCCCCCGCAGAGGGUAUUUUGGUCUUUUCAUGUUUUGGCCUUGUGCGCGGUGGACGGUGGUUGGCCCGUGCGUGGAUGAGGUGGGGGAGGGCACCAGCUUGCCCUUUCGUGCUCCCAUUCGCCCUUUCUCUCUGAAUCCCCUCUUCUCUCACACGGCCCUCUCUCUCGUGUUGGGGCGAUGAUGAUUAGCCGUGGCUGGAAAAAAGUGUGCCUUUGAGCAAUCGGGGCACCUGUGGGUAUCAAGUUGAAUCCUCCCUCUUGUCUCUAGAAUCCUUUUUGAUCCUGUGAUACUUGUUGCUCUGUCCUUGGAUGGUCAUUCUUGUUGAGUGAUAACCAGGGCAACUCCAUUGUAUAAACAGAUUGAUCUGGUGAUAAGAGACGGGGGUAGGUUAUAUGAUCGAGGCAAGUCAGAUCUGAGCCCACUA